AACGCACCUUGCGCUCCUUGGUAUUCCGAGGAGCAUGCCUGUUUGAGUGUCAUUAAUAUAUAUAUCAACCCUCUCUUGUUGUACAUGUUGAGUGGUUUGGAUGUGGGGGUUUGCUGGCCGUCUCUUAGAUGGUUCAGCUCCCCUGAAAUGCAUUAGCAGAACAAACCUUGUUCAUUGGUGUGAUAACUAUCUACGCUAUUGAAUGUGAGGGGCAGUUCAGCUUUCUAACAGUCUUUGGACAAAUUCAUCAUUAAUGUGACCUCAAAUCAGGUAGGACUACCCGCUGAACUUAA
rnacentral:misc_RNA from 1 species